rnacentral:rRNA from 1 species
GACGAACGCUGGCGGCGUGCUUAACACAUGCAAGUCGAACGAAGUGGCGAACGGGUGAGUAACGCGUAAUCAACUUCCCCUUCAGAGGGGGACAACAGUUGAAACCGUCGCCUAUUACCGCAUACUGAAGGAGGGGAUUGCGUCGGAUUAGCUAGUUGGAGGGGUAACGGCCCACCAAGGCGAUGAUCAGUAGCCGGUCUGAGAGGAUGAACGGCCACAAUGGGACUGGGACACGGCCCAGACUCCUACGGGAGGCAGCAGGGGGGAAUCUUCCGCAAUGGACGAAAGUCUGACGGAGCAACGCCGCGGGGGUGAUGACGGCCUUCGGGUUGUAAAGCUCUGUUAAUCGGGACGCGGUACCGGAAUAGAAAGCCACGGCUAACUACGUGCCAGCAGCCGCGGUAAUUC